UAUUACUUUGUGUCUCUUAGUCAACCUGAUCUGGUCUAUGUUCGUGGGGAGGGCAUCAUGGGCAUGUCCACACCAGUGUCCACUCCAUGUCCACCCCAUGGCCACUCCCCCCGCACUCGCCCAUGCUGUCGCACAGACCAAAGCAGGCACUCCCGCACCCACUUCCUCAUAUCGGUGCACCAUCCAGCACACCCCCACUAAUGAUCCUUCCGCAGGUUCACCUACGGAAA
rnacentral:misc_RNA from 1 species